rnacentral:snRNA from 1 species
AAAAGUACUUGCUAGGGUAGACCACAUGGACAUGGUGGUUUCCCAAAGCAGGUUUUGUGUAUUGUAUUCCAGAUGUAAUAACCUCUCCAGGUAGUUUCUCCCCAAUGUGGAAGCAUGGCUAUAGAAUCUGUGUAGGUUGGAGAUGGUGUGUUCACAUUAUUCCUG